rnacentral:rRNA from 1 species
UACGGAGGGUGCAAGCGUUAUCCGGAUUCACUGGGUUUAAAGGGUGCGUAGGCGGACAGGUAAGUCAGUGGUGAAAUCUCCGGGCUUAACUCGGAAACUGCCGUUGAUACUAUCUGUCUUGAAUAUCAUGGAGGUAAGCAGAAUAUGUCAUGUAGCGGUGAAAUGCUCAGAUAUGACAUAGAAUACCGAUAGCGAAGGCAGCUUACUACAUGUUAAUUGACGCUGAGGCACGAAAGCGUGGGGAGCAAACAGG